rnacentral:rRNA from 1 species
GGGCCCGCACAAGCGGUGGAGCAUGUGGUUUAAUUCGAUGAUACGCGAGGAACCUUACCAGGGCUUAAAUGUAGUAUGACCGGUCUAGAAAUAGACCUUCUCUUCGGAGCAGAUUACAAGGUGCUGCAUGGUUGUCGUCAGCUCGUGCCGUGAGGUGUUAGGUUAAGUCCUGCAACGAGCGCAACCCCUAUUCUUAGUUGCCAGCGGUUCGGCCGGGGACUCUAAGAAGACUGCCAGCGCAAGCUGAGAGGAAGGUGGGGAUGACGUCAAAUCAUCACGGCCCUUACGUCCUGGGCUACACACGUGCUACAAUGGUACAGACAGAGGGCAGCAAGUUCGCGAGGACAAGCA